UACGUAGGGUGCGAGCGUUAAUCGGAAUUACUGGGCGUAAAGCGCGCGCAGGCGGCCUUUUAAGUCUGAUGUGAAAGCCCCACGGCUCAACCGUGGAAGGUCAUUGGAAACUGAGAGGCUUGAGUACAGAAGGGGAAAGCGGAAUUCCACGUGUAGCGGUGAAAUGCGUAGAGAUGUGGAGGAACACCAGUGGCGAAGGCGGCUUCUGGUCUGUAACUGACGCUGAGGCGCGAAAGCGUGGGGAGCAACAGG
rnacentral:rRNA from 1 species